GACGAACGCUGGCGGCGUGCUUAACACAUGCAAGUCGAACGCUGAAGACCUGGCUUUUGUUGGGUUGGAUGAGUGGCGAACGGGUGAGUAACACGUGAGUAACCUGCCCUCUUCUUUGGGAUAACGCCCGGAAACGGGUGCUAAUACUGGGUAUUCACUGGCCUUCGCAUGGGGGUUGGUGGAAAGGUUUGUUCUGGUGGGGGAUGGGCUCGCGGCCUAUCAGCUUGUUGGUGGGGUGAUGGCCUACCAAGGCUUUGACGGGUAGCCGGCCUGAGAGGGUGACCGGUCACAUUGGGACUGAGAUACGGCCCAGACUCCUACGGGAGGCAGCAGUGGGGAAUAUUGCACAAUGGGCGAAAGCCUGAUGCAGCGACGCCGCGUGAGGGAUGGAGGCCUUCGGGUUGUAAACCUCUUUCGCUCAUGGUCAAGCCGCAACUGUGGGUUGUGGUGAGGGUAGUGGGUAAAGAAGCGCCGGCUAACUACGUG
rnacentral:rRNA from 1 species